AGAGUUUGAUCCUGGCUCAGGACGAACGCUGGCGGCGUGCCUAAUACAUGCAAGUAGAACGCUGAAGAGAGGAGCUUGCUCUUCUUGGAUGAGUUGCGAACGGGUGAGUAACGCGUAGGUAACCUGCCUUGUAGCGGGGGAUAACUAUUGGAAACGAUAGCUAAUACCGCAUAACAAUGGAUGACACAUGUCAUUUAUUUGAAAGGGGCAAUUGCUCCACUACAAGAUGGACCUGCGUUGUAUUAGCUAGUAGGUGAGGUAAUGGCUCACCUAGGCGACGAUACAUAGCCGACCUGAGAGGGUGAUCGGCCACACUGGGACUGAGACACGGCCCAGACUCCUACGGGAGGCAGCAGUAGGGAAUCUUCGGCAAUGGGGGCAACCCUGACCGAGCAACGCCGCGUGAGUGAAGAAGGUUUUCGGAUCGUAAAGCUCUGUUGUAAGUCAAGAACGGGUGUGAGAGUGGAAAGUUCACACUGUGACGGUAGCUUACCAGAAAGGGACGGCUAACUACGUGCCAGCAGCCGCGGUAAUACGUAGGUCCCAAGCGUUGUCCGGAUUUAUUGGGCGUAAAGCGAGCGCAGGCGGUUUGAUAAGUCUGAAGUUAAAGGCUGUGGCUCAACCAUAGUUCGCUUUGGAAACUGUCAAACUUGAGUGCAGAAGGGGAGAGUGGAAUUCCAUGUGUAGCGGUGAAAUGCGUAGAUAUAUGGAGGAACACCGGUGGCGAAAGCGGCUCUCUGGUCUGUAACUGACGCUGAGGCUCGAAAGCGUGGGGAGCGAACAGGAUUAGAUACCCUGGUAGUCCACGCCGUAAACGAUGAGUGCUAGGUGUUGGAUCCUUUCCGGGAUUCAGUGCCGCAGCUAACGCAUUAAGCACUCCGCCUGGGGAGUACGACCGCAAGGUUGAAACUCAAAGGAAUUGACGGGGGCCCGCACAAGCGGUGGAGCAUGUGGUUUAAUUCGAAGCAACGCGAAGAACCUUACCAGGUCUUGACAUCCCGAUGCUAUUUCUAGAGAUAGAAAGUUACUUCGGUACAUCGGUGACAGGUGGUGCAUGGUUGUCGUCAGCUCGUGUCGUGAGAUGUUGGGUUAAGUCCCGCAACGAGCGCAACCCCUAUUGUUAGUUGCCAUCAUUCAGUUGGGCACUCUAGCGAGACUGCCGGUAAUAAACCGGAGGAAGGUGGGGAUGACGUCAAAUCAUCAUGCCCCUUAUGACCUGGGCUACACACGUGCUACAAUGGUUGGUACAACGAGUUGCGAGUCGGUGACGGCGAGCUAAUCUCUUAAAGCCAAUCUCAGUUCGGAUUGUAGGCUGCAACUCGCCUACAUGAAGUCGGAAUCGCUAGUAAUCGCGGAUCAGCACGCCGCGGUGAAUACGUUCCCGGGCCUUGUACUCACCGCCCGUCA
rnacentral:rRNA from 1 species